UGGAAGUGGGAAAUAAAAGGAAGGAGAGAGGAGGAGCAUCUCGUCUUGUUUCGAGGGUUCUCUUGGGAGGAUAAAGGUUGGGGACGAGCAGUAUUUCUGCGUGGGGUUGGGUUUUUGUUGGCCAAUUUCUCUUUCCUUUCGGUUCACGAUUCAUCUCUGUUAGUUGCUGUCGAUCCACGAGCGGAAUCGGAAUGGUUGUUUCGAUCGGGAGGAAUUGAUGUGCUUGUUGGUCGGUAGGGGUUUUAUUUGAUCAGGUUUGGUGCUUUCUAUUGAUCGUUUGUGGAGUCGAGGGUUUGUGGGUUUGUGGUUUGCUUGCUUUGGUAGAUGGACGAGGCCUGGGAGAGGGCCGUGGAGGCGGCGCUAGGAGGUCAGACGAACUCCUCUUCGACGCCGCCGCCGCCGCGGAGCCUUACGCUGGACGGCUCCGUGAAGUGUCUCCACGGCCGGCUACCGCCGCCGGAGAUUCUGGAGAGGUACCAGUCGCUGGAGCACCUCUCAAUCGCUAACGUCGGAGUGUCCUCGCUGGAGAAGUUCCCGCGACUGCGGAAUCUGCAGCGGCUCAUUCUUUCCGACAACCGUAUAGCUGGCGGGCUCGAGUUUUUGGUGGAGGCGGGGCUCGAGUCACUUCGGGAUCUCGAUCUAUCCAACAACCGGAUCCAGUUCCUGGAGGACUUGGCGCCUCUGGCUCAGCUCCGGCUCGUAUCCUUGGACCUCUAUGAAUGCCCUGUCACGAGGAUCAAGGAUUACCGAUCAAGGGUAUUCGGAAUGAUCCGGACUCUGAGAUAUCUUGAUAAGAUGGAUGCCGAUGAGAAUGAGCGACCGGAGUCUGAUGACGAAGAAGAGGAGGAAGACGAAGAAGAUGAGGAUGAGGAAGAGGAUCCUGGGAGCGGCGAGGUCGAUGGUGAUGAUCGAGCUGGGAAAUUAAUGAAUGGUGUCGGUACCGGUGGAGUGGGUGGGAUUGUUGAUGUUUACGAGGAAGAGGAGAGUGAUGCUGAAGAGGAGACUGAGACUGCUAGGAGGAUCGAUGCCAAUGGUGGGGAGCGGAGGUAUAAUGCAUGUAAUGGAUUUCGGGUGGCCCCAGUCAUGGCAGUUGAUGGAGGAGAGGAUGAGGAGGAAGAGGAUGAUGACAUCGAGGAUGAUGAUGAAGAUGAAGACAUUGAUGAUGAUUUGGGGGAGGAGAUUGAUGCGGAGGAAAGGGACGAGGACGAUGUGGUUGAGGUGCAUGAUGUUGGGGACAGUGAAGAAGAGGUGGACGGGGUUGAAGAGGAGGGUGAAGAAGAGGUGGAUGGGGUUGAAGAGGAGGGUGAAGAAGAGGUGGACGACGAGGAUGAAGAUGGGGAUGGGGAUGAAGACCAGGAAGAUGUUGAGGAUGAAGAGGAUGAUGGUGAACCUGGAAGCUCAGGCAGAUUGAUGAGUGCAGAAGGGGAGAUUGAUGGCCACGAACAAGGCGAAGGGGAUGAGGAUGAGAAUGGAGAGAUCGGGGAGGAGGACGAGCAAGGAGUGAAUGAAGAUAGAUAUUCUGCAGAAGGUGAUGAUGAUGGCGAGGAUGAGGAUGAGGAUGAUGAUAAUGAUGGGGAAUAUCUCGUGCAGCCGAUUGCUCAACCUGCCACAGCAAGAGUUGAUUUUGAUGCUUGCAACCAAGAAGAUGAAGAUGAGGUUGACGAUGAUGAAGAUGAUCUUCACAGCAACAUUGCCUUGCAGCAGCAGCCUUCUUCCGCUUCUAAUCCCAACAAGAGGAGGAGAGGGGAAGAAGACGACCUGGAUGAUGACAGUGUUGAAGACCUGAGGCGCUCCAAGCAUCCUUGAUGAUGAUUCACCAGCAGCCUCGUAGGACAUGGUGGGUGUUUUUCCCUUAAAAGUUUGUGUAGUUCAAAGGCUGGGGGGGGGGGAGGGAACUAAUUCUCUAGCUGGUUUCUUCCUUGCUCAUUUCAAAAGUUCGGUAGUAUCCUGUCAGCGCAUGUUUUCCCGUCUAGCCGUUGGAACCCUUGCUUUUCAAGUGACAGUUAUAUAUGCAUAUACCAGUGGCCAGAGUUUUUUCCCUCCAAAACCAAGCACCAAGUUCAAAUGCGAGAGACAUUUGGUCGUUCUUUGGUAUAUGGCCGGGAGUACCAGCUCGAUCUCAACUCGUUUCUCGUUUAUUUCAUCGAACACCUUGUGUGCGCGUGAUGUGUUGUCAUAUGCUUUGUUAGCAGGCGUCGCUGCGGUACGGUUGCGUCGGGCGAGUUGGGAUGAACCUACCUGCAUCAGCGCCCGCAGCAACAAGUUGGUAAGCCUCGUGGUCUUUUUGGUCUUUCCAAAUAUUCAACAGCUGGUAAUGGCAGCUUUACAUGGACCAUGGGUGCUACCCCGGAUGUCGUCUAGGAGUGUAUUUUGUCGAGUUCGGGACAGCCGUGAUGCGUGAAAUCGACGCAACUUUAAUUACACGCCAUGGCUGAUGCCCACACUCCACUGGUCUUCAUAUCGAGUCUGCCUUGGGCGCGGUCGUGUUCAAUUAGACUCAACCAAACCCACCCGGAAGAAGAUGAGCGGUCAGGCUCCACGAACACGGCCCAGGGAAGCGACCUGCGCCUCCCGCCAGCUUCCGGUGCCCUGCUUCGCUCUCCUAACCGCUCCGUGCUAGGCCAAGGACACCGGGGGCAGCGGAGCUGGUUCGACUGCUCUCGCGCCCGGUGAUUGGUAUCUCCCUACACACGCCGCAGACCACGGGCUGCGACCUGCCGCCGUGCCCGGCCGGUCGUUCGGGGCGCGGAGGGGUGGAACUACUACCUGUUGGCGGCCAGCGUCGUGCGGUGGUCGCUCUACAUCAAGGCCAAGAAUUCGUCGGGGCCGCCGGCGGGGCCCUACGGGCUACUCGGCGCCGCCCUCGCCAUCGUCGCGGCCUUUGGCUUGCAGUGCUUUGUUAGAGCUUUCCAUCUCUUCUCUUUGCAAAGCCAUCAUCUCAUCGUUCUUUUAUAUGUUCGAGUAGAAGUCAAAUCAUAUAGUCACUUCGUUUCUUUAUGGUGCCA